rnacentral:rRNA from 1 species
AUUGAACGCUGGCGGCAUGCUUUACACAUGCAAGUCGAACGGUAACAGGCCUUCGGGUGCUGACGAGUGGCGAACGGGUGAGUAAUGCAUCGGAACGUGCCCAGAGGUGGGGGAUAACGCAGCGAAAGCUGUGCUAAUACCGCAUGUGAUCUGAGGAUGAAAGCGGGGGACCAGGCAGCAAUGUUUGGCCUCGCGCCUUUGGAGCGGCCGAUGUCAGAUUAGGUAGUUGGUGGGGUAAAGGCCUACCAAGCCGACGAUCUGUAGCUGGUCUGAGAGGACGACCCGCCACACUGGGACUGAGACACGGCCCAGACUCCUACGGGAGGCAGCAGUGGGGAAUUUUGGACAAUGGGCGCAAGCCUGAUCCAGCAAUGCCGCGUGCGGGAAGAAGGCCUUCGGGUUGUAAACCGCUUUUGUACGGAACGAAAAGGCUCUGGCUAAUACCUGGGGCUGAUGACGGUACCGUAAGAAUAAGCACCGGCUAACUACGUG